CCGUGCGCGAGUCGCAGGGUCUUGUUCAGGCCCCGUGGCGAAGCGAAAGCGAAGCCGAGAUUUCCUACAAGAGAAGGUGGAAAGCAUCGGCGGCCCGACGAUUUGUUUCGUCGGAGUCUGAGCGCACGAGUCGGUACCCGAAAGAUGGUGAACUAUGCCUGGCCAGGGCGAAGCCGGAGGAAACUCCGGUGGAGGCCCGAAGCGGUUCUGACGUGCAAAUCGAUCGUCAGA
rnacentral:rRNA from 1 species